rnacentral:rRNA from 1 species
GACAGAGGUGCCAAGCGUUAGGCGGAAUCACUGGGCUUAAAGCGUGUGUAGGCGGAUUCCUAAGUACCUUGUGAAAUCCCACGGCUCAACCGUGGAACUGCUUGGUAUACUGGGUGUCUUGAGCUAGGUAGGGCGACUGGAACAAAUGGUGGAGCGGUGAAAUGCGUAGAUAUCAGUUGGAACGACCAUGGUGAAAGCAGGUCGCUGGGCGAUGCUGACGUGAGG